rnacentral:rRNA from 1 species
CCUACGGGAGACGGCAGUGGGGAAUAUUGGGCAAUGGACGCAAGUCUGACCCAGCAACGCCGCGUGAAGGAAGAAGGCUUUCGGGUUGUAAACUUCUUUUAAGGGGGAAGCGCAGCAGACGGUGCCCCUUGCAUAAGCCACGGCUAACUACGUGCCAGCAGCCGCGGUAAUACGUAGGUGGCAAGCGUUGUCCGGAUUUACUGGGUGUAAAGGGCGUGCAGCCGGAGAGUGAAGUCAGGUGUGAACUCCGCGGGCUCAACUCGCGAACUGCAUUUGAAACUGCUUCCUUGGAGUAUCGGAGAGGUAAUCGGAAUUCCUAGUGUAGCGGUGAAAUGCGUAGAUAUUAGGAAGAACACCAGUGGCGAAGGCGGAUUACUGGACGACAACUGACGGUGAGGCGCGAAAGCGUGGGGAGCAAACAGGAUUAGAUACCCCUGUAGUC